AAAGGCUCGGGGGCGGGGCUAGGGUGGCCUUCCUGGCUCGUCGGCCGGAGGAUCCAGUGCUGGGAGUGCGCGACGACCCCCAACAGCCCGAGCUUCGUUCUGUGGGUUUCCCCAAGAGCUUUCCGCCAUUGGCCAGGCUUUGAAAGCGCUGUGGGAACGGCAGAGCAUUAAUAUGAACUUAAAGUAAUAUCACACUCGCUUGACUGAUAUAUUAAGUGGAAACUGAGCACAGCGUGUUUGUGGUGAAAAAAAAGGACUUUGGAAACAUCAAAAUUUUAAUAAGCAUCGCAUUUCCUGAGCCCUCACUAAGUGCUAGGGACUGAGGUGACCAAGCAGUCCUUCUCAACUCUAGAAGAAUCACAGAAUUUGAGAGCUGGAAUUAAUAUAUAUUUUUAAGAUAUGUCAUCUAGGAGCCCAGUUUAUCAUGGAUGCAAAACAAAUUCAGAACAGAUGGACUUUCGAGUGAAAAUCACAGUUUGACAGCUGAGCACUUCUAGAAAGUUAAGCAAAAGUGGAUCCAUUUAUCAAUGGAAGGAAGAUGGACAUGCCUUGGAUUGAAGACUAGAAAGCGAUGUCCGUAUCAGGAGGAAGGAAGGAACUGCCUCCAGAAUUGUAUGUUUAGGUCCAUCCUGGUUCCAGGUCCCCUGACCCAGUUCCGUGGCCCAGGCCCCUUACACACCAAGAAGACGUUGGACACGAUGGAACUAAGUAGUUUACUGGGACAGAGGUGAGGUCACAGAGG